rnacentral:rRNA from 1 species
UUUGAUUGAUUUCUUCGGAUUGAAAUUUUAGUGACUGAGUGGCGGACGGGUGAGUAACGCGUGAGUAACCUGCCUCACACAGGGGGAUAACAGUUGGAAACGGCUGCUAAUACCGCAUAAGCGCACAGUACCGCAUGGUACAGUGUGAAAAACUCCGGUGGUGUGAGAUGGACCCGCGUCUGAUUAGCUAGUUGGCAGGGCAACGGCCUACCAAGGCGACGAUCAGUAGCCGACCUGAGAGGGUGACCGGCCACAUUGGGACUGAGACACGGCCCAAACUCCUACGGGAGGCAGCAGUGGGGAAUAUUGCACAAUGGGGGAAACCCUGAUGCAGCGACGCCGCGUGAGCGAAGAAGUAUUUCGGUAUGUAAAGCUCUAUCAGCAGGGAAGAAGAAAUGACGGUACCUGACUAAGAAGCACCGGCUAAAUACGUGCCAGCAGCCGCGGUAAUACGUAUGGUGCAAGCGUUAUCCGGAUUUACUGGGUGUAAAGGGAGCGCAGGCGGAAGGCUAAGUCUGAUGUGAAAGCCCGGGGCUCAACCCCGGUACUGCAUUGGAAACUGGUCAUCUAGAGUGUCGGAGGGGUAAGUGGAAUUCCUAGUGUAGCGGUGAAAUGCGUAGAUAUUAGGAGGAACACCAGUGGCGAAGGCGGCUUACUGGACGAUAACUGACGCUGAGGCUCGAAAGCGUGGGGAGCAAACAGGAUUAGAUACCCUGGUAGUC